rnacentral:lncRNA from 1 species
CAACAGUUAGACGGUGUUUUCUUUUGCGAUCAACAGUUCAUUAACAUUUUGUUUAUCCAAUCACAGCUUUAAUUAAACAUAUGGUACUGAUUGUCACAUACAUAUAGUUUAUGUGUUCUAAGCAUAAUCACCAAGACAUCAUACAUCAGGUGCACCAAACAUUUUUUAUUCCAUUAACUAAUGGUCACAUACAUACACUUCAGUUGUUCCAAACAUAACCACCAAGACACCAUACAUCAGGUUCAACAAAGGACAGCGAAAAGACUGCAACUAUGAGACAUCCAUUUUAUGCAGAUCGCUGGCUUCAUGGUUCAUUGUGAGUCGAGUCCUUAUGUUUGCUUCCUACAAAAGUUAAACAAGUCUCAAUUAUUAGAAUGCUCAAUUAAUUUAUGAAAUGGAAUGCAGGCAGAAUUCACAUGUACUAUGUGCACACACAGCAGCAGAAAAUGAAGAAUACACUUGCCUAAUCUACAAAACUAGCAUUUCUGGACGUCAAGACCUCCAAUCAACUUCCAGCAAUAGCCAUGGAUGUGGCAAAGAAGCCCUCGGUCCACCUUUUGUCUAUCUAUUUGAAAGAAAACGCAUCAUUUACUUUGUAUGAUUGCUGAUCAUAAAGUCUCCGGGGAUAUACUUAAGUUACUGUACAUAGGUAUGAGAAGCCAAUAUUCCAACACUUGUUUGCAAAGAAAAUAAACAUACAACUUUAUAGAUAGUGAAUACAGUGAGUAAACAAGAUUCGGGUCUAGCCUUGUUCUUGAGCCGACUCCAGAGUGAUUUCCCCUUUUCAGGCAUGGGUCUCACCUUGACUUGUGGUAGUUUCUCCUACUCUACAGAGUUCAUUAGGAUUCACACAUUUUGAAUUAGCAAGGUGAAAGUACUAACAAGAUCAAAAAAUGUGGAGCCAAAUCCUCUAAACUCUUGCCGAUUUUUACAUGAAUUGAGUUUUGACUUUGGAGGCUUUGUAGUCAGAUUUAAAGUUUCAGGUAACAGAUGACCAAAGGCCCAAACUUCUCGAUCAAACUCCAUAGUGGAGUAAGAGAUCGAACGCUUUUGCAUAGAAGUGGCCAAGGAUCCAGAUAAUGUAUGUCAAGUUAAGUAAUCCCGUGCAAACAUUCAGAUUAGCUUCUCCUAUAACACCAUUCAUUUAAACUGAAAACUGAUUCAUUUGGGCUUCAGGAUUUUGGACCUGUUAGUUUAAUCCUCUAAUUCAAGGGUACUUUUCAAAGUUUUCAGUGCCCAAACUAACAGGUCCAGAAUUAGUGGAUUAAAGGGUACUUUUCAAAGUUCCACGGAAAGCAGUAAAAGUUGGAGCCAGCUAUAUAUUUAUGGCCAGAAACAUAUAUGCAUACAUAAAACACAUAGCAUGAGGAAAGUAUCUAUCAAGUACAUGGAAACCCUGGUCACUACCAAACAUGAAGAAACAUGAAGAAACGGGUAUAGAAGCGAUGAACAAAACAUUAACUUUGCCCUUUGGCGUAUCCAAUUAAUAGGAACAACAGUAUUAGAAACUGUAUGAGAUGUACCAUACAGCUAGUCAAAUAAUAGGUUUCUUACAUUGCUUGGGGUUGGAUGUGCACAACGUCAUUCUGUACAGAUUAAUUUUUUAGCACCACAUACUGAUCGGCUAAAAAUACUGGCACAUGGAGGUCCCAUCCCAUAACAUAGCCAAGCAUCAACAAAAAUCAGGGAAGGAAAAUAUGAUGAAACCAAAGAUAAUACCAUAGCUCCAGAUGAGGAAAAUGAGCACUCACUAAUAGAAAAUAAGAGACGUAGACCACCACCUAGGAAUCUUAUAUAUGAACUGGUUUCCAGCUUCCAAGACCAAUUAGCCAGAGUCAAGGUUUGCUUAGCCUGCAGAUAAUAAAAAAUAAACAAAAGAACCAUAAUUAGAGAGAAGACAAAAAAUAGGCAAAGAAAUAGUAGUGGGGAUAAGUGGUGGAUUUGAAGGCAUUUGUAUCUUCUCCUCGCCGGUCGCCACAAGAAAAUAGUGCUGGAUUAGAUGUGGUGUAUAUGCAUAUUCCCUGGUACACGUUGGCUCAUUUACUUCCAUGGCAAAGCAGGACAGUGUAGACCAUCAGGAGUUCAUCUUCGCCUACAACCUAGGAUAAUCCGCAGGACGGGAGUUAAAACGAGAAUAACGUAGAAGAUAUAAGAACGCAUGUGAUUACACAUUCCAAUACUAAAAGGCAGCAAGCCAUCAAUGUUGUAAACAAAUAGAUGAAACUACUUCCAAGAAACUAUAACAUCACAAUAAUAUGUUCCCCUUCUUUUAACUCCCACCAAACAUAUUGUACACAAUGUUUCCUCCAACAGCAAUAAUCCUUAUCAUGCAUGAUUUCACUUGACAUAACAAUCAAUUAAAGCCUAAGCUUUAUGCAGAAUGCAGAUAACUCACGGAAGUAAUAAACUGAAAAUCUGAAAGAAUCUAAAUAAAAAUAAAAAGGUAGUGUACAACUCAGGUGGAGAAACAAUUAACGGUGUACCGACUGCCAGCAGCCAAAAAAUAAUCGAGCGGCCCAUACUGCUGCGUCGCGACAAUGCCUCCAGAAUGGCUGGUGGCCUAGCGUGAUUUAUAAGUUCCAUGCUCCAGGAUCUAUAGCUUCCUCCAUUGCUUGAUGAUGGCUUGAAAUUUUUUAUAACUUCAUAUCUGAAACCAUCUCCUUUCUUGUCUAAGUGCCCCUGACAUAGCGGAGGUAAGAAUAUAUUUGGUUCUUUUGUUUUUUGUACAGAUGAAAAAAUAUAGGAAUACCAGUACAGCGACAACAGAUGUACAUAUAUAAUAUAAUAUCAGUAUAAUCUCAUGUUUUUAUUUGCCUUAGAAUAUAUUAUUGCCACACAAGCAUGAUCCUGCAGGGAUAACUAUACCAUGUGUAUAUAUUUGACCGUGCAGGUAUGACUUAAUAGCCAAACAAAGCAUAAUAACCCACCUUUCAGGAUUCCAAGCGUCAUUCAAAGCUUUAAAAGAGAGAUUGUACUAGACAAAACUGCUAGUUCAGAUGUCACAUGUAGGUAAAAACAACUUGCAAUACUGUCAAAGUAAUCUACUUCAGCAAUCAACAUGCAUGAUCGGUGUUUAAGAAAAAAUCCAAAGUGUGAAAAGAUGUUGUAUACAUUCAUGACAUCCACAAAUAAGGAGGGCCUGUACAUGGGGUGGAGAAACUCACAAAGGGAUUGCCUAGAAAUUCAGCUCACAAAUUUUAUAAAAAUAUAUAUGUUUGCUAGCCACCAUUUCCUGCUCUUUUUAUCAUUUUAGGUAUUCACGUCAGUUUUGAAUUGAAGUGCCAGCCUCCAAGCUACUAAAUCACAACAUCGAUCGUAUACUGAAAGAAAAAAAACUGGACACACCACAUCUUAUGAACAAAAUUCAUCUAAGACUGAAAUUACUUCAAGUCAGCAUAUACCAACAGAUUUGACGAAAUUGUUUUCUAAGCAAAGAACAACCACAUACAGCGCGCUAAAUCACAGACGAAGAAACAUAAUGUUGAAGGAUUUUUCAGAGAGAGAGAGAGAGAGAGGUCGUCAGGACCCGAGGCAGAGAAACUCACCAGAUCUGGUCUCUUGAAUAUGAACAGUAAAAGUUUGGCCUUCUGAAGUAGAAAGANNNN